GGUGCUGCUCGCAGCAUUUGGCCAGCUCCUCGCCCCUUUCCCACAGGGUCAGGGACUCGUCCAGGCUGAGGCCGCCCUGUUCGAGACGGCGUACCACCUC
rnacentral:tRNA from 1 species